rnacentral:ncRNA from 1 species
GAAAUUCUUAGCAAAAUGUCUCCAGCGGUGAGAACUGGCGGAUCGUAAAGACGCCGUCAAUCCCUCCCUGGAGGCUCGAGCCGCGCCGUCCGUGGCUCGGACGCUUU